rnacentral:rRNA from 1 species
GAUGAACGCUGGCGGCGUGCCUAAUACAUGCAAGUCGAGCGAACAGACGAGGAGCUUGCUCCUUUGACGUUAGCGGCGGACGGGUGAGUAACACGUAGGUAACCUACCUAUAAGACUGGGAUAACUUCGGGAAACCGGAGCUAAUACCGGAUAAUAUUUCGAACCGCAUGGUUCGAUAGUGAAAGAUGGCUUUGCUAUCACUUAUAGAUGGACCUGCGCCGUAUUAGCUAGUUGGUAAGGUAACGGCUUACCAAGGCAACGAUACGUAGCCGACCUGAGAGGGUGAUCGGCCACACUGGAACUGAGAAACGGUCCAGACUCCUACGGGAGGCAGCAGUAGGGAAUCUUCCGCAAUGGGCGAAAGCCUGACGGAGCAACGCCGCGUGAGUGAUGAAGGUCUUCGGAUCGUAAAACUCUGUUAUUAGGGAAGAACAAACGUGUAAGUAACUGUGCACGUCUUGACGGUACCUAAUCAGAAAGCCACGGCUAACUACGUG